GUCUUUUAGAAUAAGAGUGGUGCAGUAUUCUAGUCAAUCCUCCAUUCUUGAAGGCGGGGCUAAAAAUCCGCCAAAGGGCACAUCGAUGAAGCUCCUUGUGAUGGCUUGAGGCGCCCAGCCUUGGGUCAUUGCUGGGAGAAAAGGUAGUAGGGCGAUCCACAAAGGCAUGUGGGCGAUGACCCUCCUACUGUGGAGGCCUUUUUCUCUGCUGCUUAUGUAUGGACAUAGGGCAAGAGCAAAGGGUAUGAACCUGCGAAGGCAAGCUAGGGAGCUUGUCAGCAGCGUAGCCUGCCUUGAGUGGAGUAGAGGGGAUUAUGGGUUUUGAAGCAAUCCGCUGUCGGCCAACAGCCAUUGCCUCUCUAGUACCAUAUGAAAUCUGCUCUGCAAAAGAGGAUAAGAGAAUGGCAAGGGAUUGCCGAGGAAAACUCCUAGACUGUUCCAUGGGGACAUUUAAAGAGGAUUACAGUGUGGACUAAGUGGUAAUCCAGUCUGGCGUUUGGUGACAGCGCCAAGUUCAACAUAAAGGGAAACCGCCAGCGCGGCGACGCACUGGUGUUGAAUUGGGAAAUCCUACUGGACCUAAGCCACAGAGUUUACUCUUUAAAUGACCACUCUCAUACAUACGCAG
rnacentral:sRNA from 1 species